CAUAGCUGUAAUUUACAGCUCUGUCACCGUUCUGUGCAGUGUGUACGAGUCAUCAUUGGCCUUUCAUCAGGAUCACCUCCCGAUCGAAUCAUGGUAUUCGAACUCUCCUGCCGGAGUCAUCAAGAGGAGCUGACUUUUGCAACAGCUAAUUAAAUUAAUAGAUUUUAUAUCAUUUCGUUGCGGUCACCAUAAUCAACAGCCUGUCAGGUUCGCUUCUGGCAAUUUCGUGAGACGCACAUUGCCCCUCUUUCCGCGGAGCAGCCUAUUAGCUCGACUCGCGAGCAUUAUUGGGUGAAAUAUGCACAUUGAUAGGAAGAGCUUUUUACAACGUGUCGAGAUACGUCAUUCGUGACCGACGUCGUGGCUUUUUUACGAAUCGACGAAUUUUCGAACGACCAUGCAAACGGUGAAAUUGAACCGUGUAAAAAAGUGAUGAAGGAAUACGAGGGACUUACGUGUCGUUUAACAAGGAUAUCGGUGAUCACCACUUUGACAGUGUCAUGAGAAAAGCCACGAGCUCGUAUACACUCCGUAUCGCCCAAAUGGCGAUACCACACUGACGAUCGUUCGCAGCAACGCUACUAGGCAAGCGUGCAACCAGGGGCGGCACUUGCGUUGUAAAAAGGACAUCGUUACCCUGAACUGAUAGCGAGCCCGAAUACUAGGCCGUCGAUGCUUUCUACGCUUUCCAAACACCGUGCACCAGAAAAUUCAACACCCACGAGGCACACGAUUUUCGGAACGUGGAUUUUGCUCAAAUUUGCUGUUAUCAAAGUAAACUUGAAAGAUUCGACUCGACUCGGGCGUUAGCUUUGCUAACCCAAAUGUAAAUUCGUGGAUUUGCAAAUCUUCGCAUGUGCGAAUCUUCAAAUUUCGCAAUUCUCAAAUAUAUAAAUCUUUGAAAGAAAAAGACAUCUUCAAAAUUCAAUUACAGUAAGCAUGGCAAUAUAAAGUCUACUAUUCAUUUACUAAUUACAAUUGAAAACUGAUUUUUUGCAUUUGCUAUUUCAAAGAGAAAGGUGUAUUUUUAUUUUGUAAAAGAUAAGUACUGAGUUGAGAAACACUUUGGUUGUAAUGUCCUAGAUAAUGGUCAAGUGUUCAUUUUUUUAAACGCAAUUCUACAGGGGUUGAAUUAAUUAUUCAGUUCAAGGAUAACGCCUGUAGUUCGAGUAGCACCUUGAACCAUUAGAACAUUGAAGGAAAUUAACAGACCUUUUUCAGAAAAAAAUUCCCUCGAUGAAACCAUAAAUGUGCAGCUACAAGAUCAAGAAUAAUUUUCUUUGUUAUAAAAAACUCUUUGAGUAGAAAAGAAAGCGAAAAGUCAAAACUUCAGGCAAAAAUUUAAUAUAUACAAACGAUAUUAGUAUUAAAAUAACAAGAUAAAUAUUCUAUUUCUUGUAGAAAGAAGUAGAAUAGUAAUUCUAUUUUAGUUCCAUUUUUUGUAGAAAGUGAAUUGAGUAAAAUAAGCGUGCAGAUUUCAUAGUUAUCCGUGACUGUGCAGAAGGUAGAUGAAAUUACGCCUUUUUUUAGCUACCAACUGGGAAGAUAAUUGCGUUACUGUUCUUUGCGAUUUUUACUAUGCAUACGCACACACACUCAACCUUUAUCAGCCUAGUGUAAUGAACUUAUCAUGCAUGCAUGUAUGUGUACGCACGUGUGUGACACGCGUAAACUCCCAGGUUUCAAUGCUGUUAAUAAUUCUGAAAUUUGAUUAUUUAGCCUUGCAUAAUGGAAUAGAGGAUCCUUUCAGUUUCGUCGGAUCGAUAACAGGAUUGUUCGCUGAAAAUUUGAACUAUAGUUUCAUCUACGUAUAUCUCAGACAAACGCAGGCGAUUCCCCCAUGGCAAUCAACAUGUUUGUCAACUUGAAUGGAAACUACGUCGAAGUUGGUCCGUCUCUGUCUGAAAUCCGGGAGUGUUCGAUUCGUUGACAAAACGAAUCGAUAAAGCUAUUAAUCCAGAGCAUCGAGUAGACGAGGAAAGAGUGGGCAAAACUAACAUGAUUAAGGAGGAACGUGUACCGUCCUCGGGAAUGGAUGGCCUCAUUGCAUAGACGUGGUUGCCUGCCAGCUGGAUCAAUAACUUUGUCAGGCUUAGCUGGAUGUUCGGGAAUGUGGAGGUGGAAAAACAGGGACGUAAGAAAGUUAUACGGACAUUUAGUCUAAAAAGAACUAAAAAGUCCAAAUAUAGACUUUCCUAUUAUUGACAUGCAUAAUAUAUUAUCAAAACUUGACAUGUCUUUAGAAAGUUUCUUAUUAAUCUAAGUAAUUACUUUAAUUUGUACAAUUCUUAAUGAAUUUCAUUAUGAAAUAAGUAAUUCUAUUCAUGACAAUAGAA
rnacentral:misc_RNA from 1 species